rnacentral:rRNA from 1 species
AAAUAGAACUUUGCAGAGAGAGUUAACAGGGCGUGAAACCGUUAAUUGGCAAACGAAUCGGAGCCACGAAGUCGUUUCGUUGAUCUGAGCUGGGUUCAGUUUGGGACGAGAGUCUCAGGCGUACUCUCAUCUUAGUCAUUGUAAGCGUACACUGCAACCAGUUAGACAAUUGGCGAUGGGCCCAGUUGGGUAUAUCGUUCGCGGUAAACUUAACGAAGUGCUUGUUCGUUCAGAUCAGCAGUAGCGUUACAUCUUUUCGGAGUUGUAGUGUUGCUAGGUUUGUUCGAGUGAACUAUCACCAAAUACUGACUGGCAAAAUGAAAAUCGCCUCAGUGCGUUAGAUAGAAUGCGAUUGCUUGGUCUGGUGCCUACACCAUUGACCGUAGUGUCAUAGUUCGGCAUUUUUGAAUUUGGACUUGCAGGCUACCAAUGGGGCAACUCUUGGUGCUUGUAUAGCUACCAUCUAAUCGGGUGUCGACUUGGCAUUGCGUUGCUCGGUUGUGCUACGAUUGGGUGCCAGAGUAAUGUAAUUCGCCAUUUGAUUGGCAGUGAGUAGGUCGGCUUUCCGAACGACCCGUCUUGAAACACGGACCAAGGAGUCUAAUUAGGCAUCGAGUCGAUCGGUCUUGAUAGGCCAGAUAAGUGGGCUUGUACCCAUUGAGUGAAGGCGAAGAGAAAUCGAAUCGUGUGAUCGUCGGGUCAAAAACAGACUUAACGCGCAACAUGUGCCUGUUCGUAUAGUAAUGUUAGUAAUAACUUACUGAGCGGAGCAAAGAGAUACCUGGUUGGUACCCGAAAGAUGGUGAACUAUGCCUGGGCAAAUUGAAGCCAGAGGAAACUCUGGUGGAGGAUUGUAGCGGUUCUGACGUGCAAAUCGAUCGUCAGACCUGGGUAUAGGGGCGAAAGACUAAUCGAACCAUC